GACGAACGCUGGCGGCGUGCUUAACACAUGCAAGUCGAGCGGUAAGGCCCUUUCGGGGGUACACGAGCGGCGAACGGGUGAGUAACACGUGGGUGACCUGCCCUCAGCUCUGGGAUAAGCCUGGGAAACCGGGUCUAAUACCGGAUAUGACUCCAUGACGCAUGUUGUGGGGUGGAAAGCCUUGUGCGGCUGAGGAUGGGCCCGCGGCCUAUCAGCUUGUUGGUGGGGUGAUGGCCACCAAGGCGACGACGGGUAGCCGGCCUGAGAGGGCGACCGGCCACACUGGGACUGAGACACGGCCCAGGACUCCUACGGGAGGCAGCAGUGGGGAAUCUUGCGCAAUGGGCGAAAGCCUGACGCAGCGACGCCGCGUGAGGGAUGACGGCCU
rnacentral:rRNA from 1 species